rnacentral:lncRNA from 1 species
AUUGAGAGGAGGGAUGUGGAGAUGUACAAAGAGUCUUCACUUGAUGAGUUAUAAUGGAGCAUUGAAGUGCCAUUGUUGUAGUCGUAGGAGUUACACCGGUGAAAUUGGGUAGACGAACAGAUUUGGAGUCGCUGGAGACGUCUGAGGCGAGUAGGCUAAAGAAAAGGUAGCUAUAAGUUAUACAAUGGACUCACUAUUUUGAUGGAUUUGGAUAGUUCGAGACCCAUCAUCUAAACAUUUGCGAUGACAUGACAAUUUGAUUGGUGGGAAAUAUUUUGUCCUAUGUGGCACUCCUAAGAAGCUUCAAAAUUAG